CAGUAGCCGCGGUAAUACAGAGGGUGCGAGCGUUAAUCGGAUUUACUGGGCGUAAAGCGUGCGUAGGCGGCUAAUUGAGUCGGAUGUGAAAUCCCCGAGCUUAACUUGGGAAUUGCAUUCGAUACUGGUUAGCUAGAGUGUGGGAGAGGAUGGUAGAAUUCCAGGUGUAGCGGUGAAAUGCGUAGAGAUCUGGAGGAAUACCGAUGGCGAAGGCAGCCAUCUGGCCUAAUACUGACGCUGAGGUACGAAAGCAUGGGGAGCAAACAGGAUUAGAUACCCCGGUAGUCCCUGUCUCUUAUAC
rnacentral:rRNA from 1 species